rnacentral:rRNA from 1 species
UACGUAGGGUGCAAGCGUUGUCCGGAAUUAUUGGGCGUAAAGAGCUCGUAGGCGGUUUGUCGCGUCGAAUGUGAAAUCCCGGGGCUCAACCCCGUGUCUGCAUUCGAUACGGGCAGACUAGAGUUCGGUAGGGGAGUCUGGAAUUCCUGGUGUAGCGGUGAAAUGCGCAGAUAUCAGGAGGAACACCGGUGGCGAAGGCGGGACUCUGGGCCGAUACUGACGCUGAGGCACGAAAGCGUGGGGAGCAAACAGG